AUGGGCUUUCGUGAUAUUAGUAGCUUUAACUUGCUUAUGCUAGCAAAGCAGUGCUGGAGAUCGAUUGAUAACUAUGACUCACUGUGCGCUAGAGUGAUGAGGUUCAAAUAUUAUCCAGUGGGUGACUUGCUUAAUUGUGAACUUAAAAAAAUCUCCUCCUAUGCUUGGCAAAGUAUUUGGCCUGGAGUACAUACUUCCCAAAAAGUUUGUAUCUGGUGGGUUGGAAACGGUUUGAAAAUAAACAUAUGAGAGGAUUGUUAAAUCUCGAAUGGUUCAAAUAGGAAGAUUAUUACAAACCGGGGCAAUUGCAGACUUACCAGAGUUAGUGGGCUUAUCGAUCUUGUUUCUGGUCAUUGGGAUGAAACGCUGAUUAGGGACAAUUUCUGGCAUCUUGAUGCAGAGCGCAUUCUGCAUAUUCCUAUAUACCAACAACAUACGAAAGAUUUUGUCGCUUGGCACCUAACAAAGUCGGGUAUUUUAGCGUUCGAUCAGCUUAUUACAAGCGGUGGGAGGCUAGUCCAUCAGGCAUUGGAGGGACAAGACCUCAUCUGGUUUGGCAGAAGCUCUGGAAUUUGGAACUUCUAG
rnacentral:rRNA from 1 species